AGAGUUUGAUCCUGGCUCAGGAUGAACGCUGGCGGCGUGCCUAACACAUGCAAGUCGAGCGUGAUUGUUAUGAGUGAAGACUUCGGUCAAAGCGAGUAACAUGAAAGCGGCGGACGGGUGAGUAACGCGUGGGCAACCUGCCCCAUACACGAGGAUAGCCACUGGAAACGGUGAUUAAUACUCGAUAAGACCACACUGCCACAUGGCAGAGCGGCCAAAGAUUUAUCGGUAUGGGAUGGGCCUGCGUCUGAUUAGCUAGUUGGUGAGGUAACGGCUCACCAAGGCGACGAUCAGUAGCCGACCUGAGAGGGUAAUCGGCCACAUUGGAACUGAGACACGGUCCAAACUCCUACGGGAGGCAGCAGUGGGGAAUAUUGCACAAUGGGCGAAAGCCUGAUGCAGCAACGCCGCGUGAGUGAUGAAGGCCUUUGGGUCGUAAAGCUCUGUCCUAAGGGAAGAAACAAAUGACGGUACCUUAGGAGGAAGCCCCGGCUAACUACGUGCCAGCAGCCGCGGUAAUACGUAGGGGGCAAGCGUUAUCCGGAAUUAUUGGGCGUAAAGAGUGCGUAGGUGGUUAUUUAAGCGCGAGGUGAAAGGCUACAGCUUAACUGUAGUAAGCCUUGCGAACUGGAUGACUUGAGUGCAGGAGAGGAAAGCGGAAUUCCUAGUGUAGCGGUGAAAUGCGUAGAUAUUAGGAGGAACACCAGUGGCGAAGGCGGCUUUCUGGACUGUAACUGACACUGAGGCACGAAAGCGUGGGGAGCAAACAGGAUUAGAUACCCUGGUAGUCC
rnacentral:rRNA from 1 species